rnacentral:ncRNA from 1 species
GAGAAUUGGACUAUCGGAUAAGUAGUGUAGUCUACUUUUUCAAACCGCCUUAAGGUGCUUUUGUAAAGAGCAAAGGUAUUGAGCGUUAAGGUCAAGGCAGCUAAAGCCGUUUGUAUGG